rnacentral:lncRNA from 1 species
CGAGAACCAGGAGAACAACUUAAAUGAGAAAAAGCAAUCAACUGACCACUAGUGAGAUAAACUGAAUGCUGGAAUUCUCCAUCAUAAAACCAAUUAUAAAUUCUCUUGGAACAAUAGAAAAUACCUACAAAUAUACAGAAUUUAGAGAUAAACGAAAACAUUAAAUUAAAAUGUGCAGUGAUAAGCUUUAAAAACUUCCUGGCCUGAAUACUACAGUGGAAAUGAUAGAAGAUAGACUAAGUAAAUAUGAGGACAGAACAAUAGGAUUUGCUUAAUCUGAGCAGAAAACACAGACCCCCCCCUCCUUCCCUGCAACAAAGAACAAAUGUCAUGGGGCUUAUGAGAUAAUAGCAAAAGACCUAAUAUACUAUCAAAGUCCCUAAAGACGGCUGGGGAUGUGGCUCAGUUGGUAGAGUGCUUGUCUAGCAUACACAAGGCCUUGGGCUCAGUCCCCAGCAACACACACACAGAGUCCCAAAAAAGAAGGGAGCUGAAAGAGUAACUGAAGAGAGAAAUUUCCCAUAUUUGGUAAAAAGAUGUGGAUUCAUGAAGCUGAGUGAAUCCUGAACAGGAUGAAAUCAAAUCCACACCAAGAAAUCAACCUUCUAAGAACAAAACAAGAAAUCUUGAAAGCAGCUGGAACAAAUGGUAUAUUACUUAAUGGGAAACCAUCUUGAAUGACGGUGGGUUUCUCCUCAGAAACCAUGGGGGCCAGAGAAAGUGACAAAUGCUGAAAGUUAGCCAGGCAUGUGGUAACCCUGUAAUCCCAGCUGGUGGGGAUACCCUAUCUCAGAAAAACAAGCAAAACAAAGUAAAUGUCAAUCAUGAAUUAAAUAUCCAGCCCAACUUUUAUUUAUUUAUUUUGGUGGUGCAUGGGGAGUGAACCCAAGGCCUUGUGCAUGCAAAGCAAGCGCUCUACCAACUGAGCUAUAUCCCCAGCCCCCAGCCCAAAUUACUUUCAGAAAAGAAAGUGAAAUAAAAUUCACUCAGAUGAAGUAAAAUUAAAGAAUUUAUUGGGCUGGGGUUGUAGCUCAGUUGGUGGAGCAUUUGCCUUCCAUAUGUGAAGCACUGAGUUCAGUCCCCAGCACCACAUAAAAACAAAUACAUAAAAUAAAUGUAUUGUGUCUGUCUACAACUAAAAAAAUUUUUUUAAAAAGAAUUUGUUACUUGUUUUUGUCCUGUGGUUGUAAGUUUUGUCUACAUCUCCUCUCAGAUCUGUCUGUUAAAGAUUGAGGGAAAUUCUGAUAGAAGAUGCAGACAAAUCUAUAAUCAAAGGACCCAGUUACUGCAUUCCUGGAGAACAAAAUUUUGUUUACAAAAAACACCUUACACCAGUUUUCACAGGAGUCUUAUUCAUACUAGCCAUAAACUGGAAUCAGCCCAACUGUCCCUUCAAUCUGGAGUGAAACACACACAGCUACCCUGGAACACUACAAGCAGCGAACAUGGAAGAGGGGGUGUGUUUAUAGAAGCACAAUACUAGGUAGAGAUCCUUGAUGGGAUAGCACUGUCGUGUCUUUUAAAAUUUUUUUUUUCAGUUGUUGAUGGACCUUUAUUUUAUUCAUUCACUUAUAUGUGGUGCUAAGAAUCAAACCCAGUGCCUCACAUACAUGAGGCCCAUGUUCUACCACUAAGCCACAACCUCAGCCUGUCAAUCUUAUCUUGAUCAUGGUCCUGGAUACACAAACCUACAUGUCUAAAUAUGACACAGAACUAAAUAUCCAUACCAGUGAGUAUAGCUUGCAAAACUUGAAGGAGACAGAUUGAUUGCAAUCAAUGUCUGUAUCCUGAUUGAAAUAUCACAUGCACAUAGUUAUCAAAGAUGUUGCCAUUAUGGAAAACUGGGUAAAGGAUUUUUCUAUUAUUUAUUUAUUUAUCUGCAUGUAAAUCUACAGUCAUUUUCAAUAAAAAUUUCAAUUAAAAAUAUUCAGCACCAAACAAGAUAAAAUGUAUAAUGUAUAGCAUUCAGUAAAAAAUUAUAAGGCAUGAAAAGAAGAAAAAAUAAGGCCCACUUAAUCAGGAAAAAAAAUCAGUCAAUAAAAACAGACCCAGAAAUCAUAAAAAUGGCAAACAAGAUAGAGCAUUAAAAGACUUCAACAAGUGGAAGAAAGGUGGUGCAUAUUUAAGUAAAAAUAGAAAUAUGUAAAGGCAAACUCAACUUACAGAAGAAAACAGUGGAUAUAAUGAAAAAUACACUGGAUGUUUUUAAUAAUAGGUCACAUGUUGCAGAAGAAAACUCACAAACUUG